GGGCUUGACAUCCCACGAACCUGCCUGAAAGGGCGGGGUGCCCGCAAGGGAGCGCGGAGACAGGUGGUGCAUGGCUGUCGUCAGCUCGUGUCGUGAGAUGUUGGGUUAAGUCCCGCAACGAGCGCAGCCCUCACCCCUAGUUGCCACCGGGUCAUGCCGAGCACUCAAGGGGAACUGCCAGCGCCAAGCUGGAGGAAGGCGGGGAUGACGUCAAGUCAUCAUGCCCCUUACGCCCUGGGCUACACACGCGCUACAAUGGCCGGUACAAAGGGAUGCGAGACCGCGAGGUGGAGCUAAUCCCAAAAAGCUGGUCUAAGUUCAGAUUGCAGUCUGCAACUCGACUGCAUGAAGGAGGAAUCGCUAGUAUUCGCGCAUCAGCCCGGCGCGGUGAAUACGUUCCCGGGCCUUGUACACACCGCCCGUCACACCACGAAAGCUGUCUGUACUCGAAGUCGCUGAG
rnacentral:rRNA from 1 species